CCGGCCCGCACCAGAGCAGUCGGCCCGCUAGGGACGGCUGAAGGCCGGGCCCGGGGACCACCAUGGCGGCCGCCCUGGGCGCGGGCGGAGGAGCAGGCGCUGGAGAUGAUGACUUUGACCAGUUUGACAAGCCUGGUGCAGAACGGUCCUGGAGAAGAAGAGCUGCUGACGAGGACUGGGACAGUGAACUUGAAGAUGACUUGCUUGGAGAAGAUUUACUGUCUGGCAAAAAGAAUCAGUCGGAUUUGUCAGAUGAAGAGCUGAAUGAUGAUCUUUUACAGAGUGAUAAUGAAGAUGAAGAAAAUUUCAGUUCUCAGGGUGUCACCAUCAGUCUGAAUACCACCUCUGGCAUAGUUACAUCAUUUGAGCUGUCUGACAACACCAAUGACCAAUCCGGAGAACAGGAAUCUGAGUAUGAACAAGGAGACGAUGAGCUAGCCUACCACAAACCUGAGGAACAAGAACUGUAUACUCAAGAGUACCCAGAGGAAGGACAGUAUGAAGGCCACGACACAGAGCUGACAGAAGACCAAAUAGAAUAUGGGGAUGAGCCGGAGGAGGAGCAGCUGUACAGUGAUGAAGUGCUGGACAUUGAAAUCAAUGAACCUUUAGAUGAGUUUACAGUGAGUCCUUUUUCUUUUGAAUGGCCAGAGAUAACAUGGCUUCCUGCACAUAGGUUUCUAGACUGAUUUGAAAUCUAUUUACCUCCCAUGGGAAGGAGAGAAAUUAGACCUUAUUAUCACUGUCUGCCAGUUUCUUUAUCAGAGCUAUGACAAAGUUUGUGUUGACAGCUUGUUUGGCCACUGGUAAUGCUCCUUUGUCAUUUGGGAAAGCUGCAAAGAAUUGUGACCUUGAGGAUUGCACCCUAAGGAAGAAACCAGCUUUGUGUGGUGGAGGCGCACUGUCAGUGUUAGAAGUGCUUAAUGCAGAGCUUUUAUCCAGGCUUUAGACAAGAUCUGAUAAAGUCCUUCUGAGGUGAAAAGAUUAUUGACCUGCUAAAGACAUCUUCAAGGUGCUAAUAUUCCACAGUGAUUGAUGUCCUGUCUUCAUUCAUCCCUUUCUUACAGAGAACUGUCUAAACAGAAUAAAGAGGUUGAGGUUAGUUUAGAAAAUGUCACACAUAAUUUGUUAUCUAUCUGUAAUCAGCAAGCUAAGAUGGUGCUGGUCUUCAUUUCAGAAAGAUUUUUUUUGGUAGGUAGUGUUUAUUUUAUUACACUCCAGAAAAGAAUUGGUUACUGGUGGCAGAUUAGUCAUCUGUCAUAAUGGUAUAUUAUCGGAAGAGGUUUGUGUUUUAAAAAAGCACCUGAUGCCAUUCGUGCUGGAAAGAUGUUAUUGCUGCAUUGUGUAAUGCCUAAGGGUUUCAUUUCAUUAGGGUUUCACAUAGGAGAAUGGAC
rnacentral:lncRNA from 1 species